GAUGAACGCUAGCGGCAGGCCUAACACAUGCCAGUCGAGGGAGAGGUUACCUUCGGGUACCCCAAACCGGCGCACGGGUGCGUAACGCGUAUACAAUCUGCCUUUCACAUAGGGAUAGCCCGAAGAAAUUUGGAUUAAUACCUAAUGGUAUAUAAGCGCGGCAUCGUUUUUAUAUUAAAGCUACGGUGGUGAAAGAUGAGUAUGCGUUCUAUUAGCUAGUUGGAGAGGUGACGGCUCCCCAAGGCGACGAUAGAUAGGGGUUCUGAGAGGGAUGUCCCCCACACUGGUACUGAGAUACGGACCAGACUCCUACGGGAGGCAGCAGUGAGGAAUAUUGGACAAUGGUCGGAAGACUGAUCCAGCCAUGCCGCGUGCAGGAUGAAGGUCCUAUGGAUUGUAAACUGCUUUGGAAAGGGAAGAAUAAGGAGUACGUGUACUUUGAUGACGGUACCUAACGAAUAAGCAUCGGCUAACUCCGUG
rnacentral:rRNA from 1 species